AUAUCAAUAAGCGGAGGAAAAGAAACCAACAGGGAUUGCCCCAGUAACGGCGAGUGAAGCGGCAACAGCUCAAAUUUGAAAUCUGGCCCCUCGGGCCCGAGUUGUAAUUUGUAGAGGAUGCUUUUGGCAAGGUGCCGCCCGAGUUCCCUGGAACGGGACGCCGCAGAGGGUGAGAGCCCCGUCUGGCUGGCCACCGAGCCUCUGUAAAGCUCCUUCGACGAGUCGAGUAGUUUGGGAAUGCUGCUCAAAAUGGGAGGUAUAUGUCUUCUAAAGCUAAAUAUUGGCCAGAGACCGAUAGCGCACAAGUAGAGUGAUCGAAAGAUGAAAAGCACUUUGAAAAGAGGGUUAAACAGUACGUGAAAUUGUUGAAAGGGAAGCGCUCAUGACCAGACUUGGGCUUGGCGAAUCAUCCGGCGUUCUCGCCGGUGCACUUCGCCUCGCUCAGGCCAGCAUCAGUUCGCGCCGGGGGACAAAAGCUUCGGGAAUGUGGCUCCUCCGGGAGUGUUAUAGCCCGUUGCAUAAUACCCUGGUGCGGACUGAGGUUCGCGCAUCUGCAAGGAUGCUGGCGUAAUGGUCAUCAGCGACCCGUCUUGAAACACGGACCAAGGAGUCGUCUUCGUAUGCGAGUGUUCGGGUGUCAAACCCCUACGCGUAAUGAAAGUGAACGCAGGUGAGAGCUUCGGCGCAUCAUCGACCGAUCCUGAUGUUCUCGGAUGGAUUUGAGUAAGAGCAUACGGGGCCGGACCCGAAAGAAGGUGAACUAUGCCUGUAUAGGGUGAAGCCAGAGGAAACUCUGGUGGAGGCUCGCAGCGGUUCUGACGUGCAAAUCGAUCGUCAAAUAUGGGCAUGGGGGCGAAAGACUAAUCGA
rnacentral:rRNA from 1 species